GCCUGUCACCUUACACUUUAAGAUUAAACAUUUAUUUUUCGAAUGUGGCCCAGUCUAGGGGUUGGAUGCGUGAUCGGGAAAUACCGCAAAGCUAUGCAGCCUGCAAGGGGACUGAAUCGGAGGUCUGGGUUAUCAUCUGUAAGGUGUCCCACAGAAGUGAGCCAACCAUAGCCACGAGGAACAUGCAGUACAGGGAGUUCUCCUGGUUCCCACGGUCAACAGAGACCAAAUGUCUGUCUCAUUUGGACCCACGGGAUUUUAAUUUACAAAAACAUCUCUGCAGAUCGGCAGAAGUCAGGAGAAAUGAGAGAGUCAUUUUCAGGACUCAUUUCUGUGUAUGGGAUCAGUCUGCCAUCCAUCACCAGUGCAGUCAGCAGACUUCUGACAAAAUCAGUGAACCAUCAACUGGACUAAAAACGCUUUAUGGUUAAAAUCAAGGCAAAGGCCCUCACCCAAGAGACACCUGUACGAAUUCAUGUCUGGGGAAAAAUGAAACACUCCAUGCUUGAUUUUUCUAUUUUGUUUUGGUGUUUCCACCUGCUUCAGAGUACUAAUGUAAUAAAAUGACAACGAGGAUGGGCA